GACGAACGCUGGCGGCGUGCCUAAUACAUGCAAGUCGAGCGGAUGGAAGGAAGCUUGCUUCCUAAAGUCAGCGGCGGACGGGUGAGUAACACGUGGGUAACCUGCCCCUAGAUCGGGAUAACUUCGGGAAACCGGAGCUAAUACCGGAUAUGAUUAUGUCUCACAUGAGACGUAAUGGAAAGACGGUUUCGGCUGUCACUUAGGGAUGGGCCCGCGGCGCAUUAGCUAGUUGGUGAGGUAACGGCUCACCAAGGCGACGAUGCGUAGCCGACCUGAGAGGGUGAUCGGCCACACUGGGACUGAGACACGGCCCAGACUCCUACGGGAGGCAGCAGUAGGGAAUCUUCCGCAAUGGACGAAAGUCUGACGGAGCAACGCCGCGUGAGUGAAGAAGGUUUUCGGAUCGUAAAACUCUGUUGUUAGGGAAGAACAAGUACCAUAGUAACUGAUGGUACCUUGACGGUACCUAACCAGAAAGCCACGGCUAACUACGUGCCAGCCGCCGCCGUAACAC
rnacentral:rRNA from 1 species